GUGCCUAAUACAUGCAAGUCGAACGCGUUGGCCCAAUUGAUUGACGGUGCUUGCACCUGAUUGAUUUUGGUCGCCAACGAGUGGCGGACGGGUGAGUAACACGUAGGUAACCUGCCCAGAAGCGGGGGACAACAUUUGGAAACAGAUGCUAAUACCGCAUAACAGCGUUGUUCGCAUGAACAACGCUUAAAAGAUGGCUUCUCGCUAUCACUUCUGGAUGGACCUGCGGUGCAUUAGCUUGUUGGUGGGGUAACGGCCUACCAAGGCGAUGAUGCAUAGCCGAGUUGAGAGACUGAUCGGCCACAAUGGGACUGAGACACGGCCCAUACUCCUACGGGAGGCAGCAGUAGGGAAUCUUCCACAAUGGGCGCAAGCCUGAUGGAGCAACACCGCGUGAGUGAAGAAGGGUUUCGGCUCGUAAAGCUCUGUUGUUAAAGAAGAACACGUAUGAGAGUAACUGUUCAUACGUUGACGGUAUUUAACCAGAAAGUCACGGCUAACUACGUGCCAGCAGCCGCGGUAAUACGUAGGUGGCAAGCGUUAUCCGGAUUUAUUGGGCGUAAAGAGAGUGCAGGCGGUUUUCUAAGUCUGAUGUGAAAGCCUUCGGCUUAACCGGAGAAGUGCAUCGGAAACUGGAUAACUUGAGUGCAGAAGAGGGUAGUGGAACUCCAUGUGUAGCGGUGGAAUGCGUAGAUAUAUGGAAGAACACCAGUGGCGAAGGCGGCUACCUGGUCUGCAACUGACGCUGAGACUCGAAAGCAUGGGUAGCGAACAGGAUUAGAUACCCUGGUAGUCCAUGCCGUAAACGAUGAGUGCUAGGUGUUGGAGGGUUUCCGCCCUUCAGUGCCGGAGCUAACGCAUUAAGCACUCCGCCUGGGGAGUACGACCGCAAGGUUGAAACUCAAAGGAAUUGACGGGGGCCCGCACAAGCGGUGGAGCAUGUGGUUUAAUUCGAAGCUACGCGAAGAACCUUACCAGGUCUUGACAUCUUGCGCCAACCCUAGAGAUAGGGCGUUUCCUUCGGGAACGCAAUGACAGGUGGUGCAUGGUCGUCGUCAGCUCGUGUCGUGAGAUGUUGGGUUAAGUCCCGCAACGAGCGCAACCCUUGUUACUAGUUGCCAGCAUUAAGUUGGGCACUCUAGUGAGACUGCCGGUGACAAACCGGAGGAAGGUGGGGACGACGUCAGAUCAUCAUGCCCCUUAUGACCUGGGCUACACACGUGCUACAAUGGACGGUACAACGAGUCGCGAACUCGCGAGGGCAAGCAAAUCUCUUAAAACCGUUCUCAGUUCGGACUGCAGGCUGCAACUCGCCUGCACGAAGUCGGAAUCGCUAGUAAUCGCGGAUCAGCAUGCCGCGGUGAAUACGUUCCCGGGCCUUGUACACACCGCCCGUCACACCAUGAGAGUUUGUAACACCCAAAGUCGGUGGGGUAACCUUUUAGGAGCCAGCCGCCUAAGG
rnacentral:rRNA from 1 species